AUUCAUCUGACGAGUCCCAAAUGAGACGAAACUCGCAUCCUGGAU
rfam:Schistosoma haematobium scaffold409_2, whole genome shotgun sequence.